UCAAACGAAGAGAACGAACGUAUUAUUAUAAACGAACUUCACUGAAAAUCUACGAAAAUCAAUAAUAUAAAAGAUCGAAAGGAUCGCGUACGGAUGUAAUAAUUAAUUUACUUUUUCAUUUAUUAAUCAAUUAUAUUAUGAUUUCAAUGCUCUCGUAAUCUCGACGUCGAUAAAUAAAGGAUCGUAUUUACCGAUCGUCGAUAAAAUAGUCAUUUCAAUGAUGCAAACGCGUUAUCGCAAAUAGAAAUAAAUAAAAAAAUUUAGGAGAACAGUUGGAUCAGAUUUAUGUCAGAAUAAUACACUCUUGGUGGGCGUGAGUUUAUUUAUUGCAAUUUUUUUUUUCCCAUGCAAUAUUUUCAAUCGAUUAAAAAUAAAAAUUGGAUCGAUAAUGGAGUUACAAUUUUAUUGCAAAAAAAUUGUAAUUAUCAAGAUUGCGAAAAUUUUGAUAGAAAUGUCAAUGUACUUUUGAGAUCAGACGAAAUAUUUUAUCUGAAAUCGAGACUCGAUCGGUAAUCGAUCAAAUCGUGUAUCGUUAUAUAUUAAAGGGAUAAAAUGUGACGUCUUAUUCGCAACGGCUCUAAGAACGUCCCCAAAAAGGUUAGCAACGUGUCUCUUCGAUAUAUGACAUGUGGGUGGGUAUCGUUCUGGAAUUCAGAGCGAUCGAUAGUGAGUUCCUUAAAAGGAACGCACACAUAUAUAAAUGUAGUGUGUAUGUAUCUGUGAGCGGGCGCGCGCGUUCACGGGCGAGCCAUACGUUCUCGUCGAAGCUAUCCAAGUUCCUAGGGGGAUGCUCGAGCGAGUCGCGCGAAUUAUUCGAAUUGAAUCGCUCGGAUGCUGGAUGAUUAAUGUCAUUUCCCAUUGAAAAGAGAAUGUAUUGGUAUACGUGACUCUCUCUCUCUCUCUCUCUCUCUCUUUGUAUAUAUAAGUGUGUAUGCUUUUGACUCCCAAUAGCCUUCUAUCCAACCUGUCAAAAUUAUUCGGAACGUUGAUAGAGUACUUUCCUUAUUUAUUUCGAUACUUGAAUUUGCUAUUUUUCGUGAGAAUUUUAUUAUAAAACUGACUUUAUCCUGUUAUUUUCUUUCAUUCAUCAAUUUUUUUUUUUUUUUCUAUGAUUUUAUAUUCUUCUUCUUCUUCUUAUUAUUUUGCAGUUUCACAAUUUGCAAGUUUUACAGAAAAUUUUAUAAACAAAUGUCAUUGUAAAAGUUGUUUCAUGUUUCUCUCGGUUUUUUUUUCUUUUUCAAAUAACUUUGCACUGUUUCAUUUUUUAAUUAGGCUCUUGGAUUUUUUUAUUAUAAAUUUAUAAUAUAAAAAAAAGCUUUCGAUUCGACGAAAAAUUGAAGAAUUGUUGAAAAUCAUGAAAUCGUAAAAUCGUGAAACGAUGAAAUCCUCUUAUUUCCUGGAAAUUCAAAUCUAUUAUUCGUUAUGCAACAAUGUAAGAGGGGGUAGAGAGAGAGAGAGAGGAGCUAGAUCGUUUCCAUUUAUUCGCAACGUUGCUUGAUGCGUAAUAUAUUGCUUUGUAAACAUUAUAAUACACAGGCGGUGUACUAGUCUGAACACUGGUACGUCGAACGAUUAAAGCCGUGUCAGAUCUUGCAAGAUAAUGUUUGUGAAAAUUUGGAUAUCUAUGAGGAAGGAAUACAUCAAGCGAUAUUCACACACACACACACACACAUAUAUAUAUAUAUAUAUAUAUAUAUAUAUAUAUAUUAUAUUAUUGUAUGUUUGAUAAGAAUUAUAAUGCUCGAUUUACAUUAAAUGUUAUCGAUUUGGAUAAUAUUAAGCGCGAUUGUAUGCCUCUCUCUCUCUCUCUGUCUUAUUCGUCAGAUAUUAUUGGUAUGUAGGAACGUUGUCUCUCGUCGAUCAUAAUCAGAACGUAGUUACAUGGCUGAUCGGUUCGCACAAGAUUAAUAUUGUUCUAUAGUAUAUACAUACGAUGCAUCUUGUUAAUUGAUACCUGCUUUUGUGUUCGAAGACGCUUCUCGUGAGAUAAUUUAUGUAUAUCCAUUCGCGAGUAUAUUUGCCAAUGACAACUAUUUAAAAAGAAAUCACUUAUCGAUUAAACUUUAUCGUCAUAAUCAAAACAUGGGAUCAGAUUAUUCCAUAUAAAAUUCUGAACAAUUAAAAUAUAAACGUCGUAUUGAUAAUUUCUAUCACAAUCGAUGUAUCUAUCGUUAAUCGUUAUAAUCGUCGUAUUGAAAUCGUGUCGUUUUUAAAAUUCGAUCGACAAACCUGUCAAUUUUUGUUUCGACGGUAACAAGUAAAUCUACUCUCUCUCUCUCUCUCUCUCUCUGUUUAGCUCUCUUUUGAUUUUAUUCGCGUUCAUUACCGCGAGGGGAUUAGAUUGACUCAAAUUGACUCCUACGUUUCUCCUGCGUCACGCGCAAUUGACGACUAAGCCGGCGAAUUGGAUAAUCGCUAGAAGCACUCUGCGAAAUCUGCUCGUAUAUGUGUAUACGCAAGUAGUAUCUUAUAACUUUUAAUAUUAUUUCGUUAUUUUUUACACAUUCGUUAAUGUGUCGCGUAUAUGCUGCGCGUAUUAUCAAAGAUCCGAUCGAUUCUUAUAGAAAUUGCUCGUAUCGCUUUAUACAUAAGUGUUAAUAAGAAAUCACUCUUACGUAUAAACAUACAGGAUGAUCUUUUAAAGAAACUUCAAUCGUAUCGAUUUAUCGAGAUUAUUUAUUAUUAAUAUUUUACUUCUUUCUCUCUGUCCCUCUUUUUCAACAAAAUAUUAAGCGCAGGUUUAACGUGAUAAGAUUUCUGAAAAAAGAAAGGAACAAAAGAAGACAAACGAAAAAAAAAGAAAGAGAAAACACGUAGUAGAGGUUCCAGCUGUGUGUUCAGCACCAAGUGUCAUUGACUAAAGAAUAAAAUAGACGACUAUGGGGGUGGUGGUAGCGGCUGCUAGUGGCAUAUCGGCCUUGGCAAAAUUCCAUUUCCUUUUUUUCUCUCUCUCUCUCUCUCUCUCUCUCUCUCUCUCUCGAUAAAGUACACGUCUCUCUAGAAAGUCAGCGCCAUUUUUACGAAAGAAAGGUCUUCUUAGCUUCUCUCCUCAAUCUUUUACACUCCCCAAAGAGAGGAAUAAAAUCCAUUCCGAGUUUUCAUAAUUUAUUUUUUUGCGUCGUUUUUAUUAUUCUUCCGUAUAUUUACUUAUUAUAUUGAUUCGAUUAGAAAAAUCUUCUAAAUGCGAUUGACAUAAUCUAUAUAUAUAUAUAUAUAUUAUUCGAUUGAUUAGGUCAGAAUUCGAAAAUUUGUUCAACUUGAAUUAUCACCCAAAGUCAGUAACUUAUUUUUUUUAUUUCCCUCUUUUAGCAUAGGAAAAGUCAGGCAAAUGAAGUGGAUAUCUGCCGCCCCUCCUCUCCCUCUCUCUCUCUCUCUCUCUCUCUCUCUCUCUAAAUCCAUGGGAAGGAGAAUAAAUAAAGCAACGGUAAUGUUUAUCCGGAAGCGCUGGGCAAUUAAUUAUUUUCUCGCCUGUACGUUUCGUCAAUCAGAGGAUGCAUUUGAGUGGAUGGGGAUGGCAUGGGAGGGAAUUUAAUUGGAACGUUGAACGAUUCGCUCGAGCACGGAAGUCGAAGCAUCCAUUUCCUCCUAUGGCUUAUAGUUUGGCCGAAUUAACGGCAGGUAACCAAGGUAAUUGGGUCGUACACCAUCGACGUCGCCUAUGCAAGGAUCACAGUAGUUCCGAUGUGUUUUACCUUCGAUAAGGUAUACUAACGAUACGAUUCUAUACCGAUGCUUAUCCCUCGUUAACCGUAUCGAACACCGUAGGCUACUCAUAUCUAACUAUUCGAAUUAUCUACGCAUCUAUUUAUUAUUAAUUAUUAAGAACGAAGAUAAUGUAUCCACACACACACACACGUAUAUACAUAUUAUAUACUGAACUCUGUUAUACCAUAUGCAAGCAACACUUUUUUUAUGGACCACCCUUGUACGCGCAGUACACACGCGUACAUAAUAGGGUGUGUCUUUUCAGCAAUGAUAUAUAAUUUUAUUUUGAUUUUUAUUUAUUCGUUUUCUUUCAAUCAAGGGAAGAAUCGGUUGGAUUACUGGGAAUACAAAUCUUAAUAAUUGUAGGCCUUUUUCCUAAACAAAUCGAAACGUACAAUGAACAUCCCUUUCCACGGUAGCUAACAAAUUAAUUAGAGAACGUUACGUAAAUCGUUUCUCCGUUCAUUACAUAAUACUCUAACGAUGAGUUAGUAGUUACGUUUAACGUUCACGUUUCCCCUGGCUUUUAUCAGUAGUUUGUUCCAUCUUCGUAGGGUUAUUAAUUAGAGAGGACGUAAUGCGAUAUUACCGACCGAAUGAGUGUUGUCCCAUAGCUAAUUACUUGCAUCGUUAUUAGAUUAUGUUGUAAUCGUAUGUUAUUAACGAAUUACGAAAUAUUUCUAUUUUCCCUUUGGCCAUGUUUAUCUCUGUGUGUUUCUGCACGUAUACAUAUACAUAAGAGCUUUCUUCGAUGGCUAAUCUCUGAAUUAAACUCGAUAUAUAUUAAGUGCAAUGUUCUGUUGUGGUAGUUCCGAAUGGAACUACUUUGCUAUCUACUAAAGUUGAUCCGAUCCGAUUGGACGAGUAAAUGUAUCGUUUUCUGAAUAAAUGGAUAAGCCCGCGACGUCGGUAAAGUAGAUCCCUAUAAAUCGGUAAUAUUGAAUCUCGAGUUUUUUUUUUUCUUUUUUUUUAAAUUCCUUUAAUAAUUUUGAAUUAUUGAUCAUUUUUUUCAAUCAAAUAUUGCGCCCUUUGCGUAUAUAUCAUGUUACUUAAAAAUGUCACAUGAUUGUUAACAAACAAAAUAAGUAUUUUUCUCUUUAAUAUUUAAUCGUUCAUUAAAUCGUGUGGGAUAAUUCUUUUCGAGGAAAUAAUUCCGCGUAACAAAAUUUCUUUGGUUAACAAAAAGGAGCAAAUAAAAAAUGUCUAAGUUCUCAAAAAGCAGAGAGACAGAGAGAGAGAGAGAGAGAGAGAAACUGGUAAUGCAGAAUGUUUUCUUGUUAAUAUUUUUAACACGCUCGGUGAUUCAUUCUCGGUUAAAUAUAAAUGCAGCAGAGAGAGAGAGAGAGAGGAAGAAAAAAAGUUUUUGUAACAUGUGAGCCAUUCAUAUAAAUACACGACUAGAAUAUGCAAGAGUGGACCGUGCAACAAACUGUCCGAGAUUUUCAGACAUCUAAUUCGAUGUUCCACAUAUAAUGUGUAUAUACUGUGUGAAAAAAAGAGAGAAAGGGGAAAGGCUCGUUUGUGGUUUUGGAAAAGACUUAAACACCGUCACAACGAAAGAAAAAAAAAAAAAAAGAAAGAAAAAAUAAAUGUCGAUAUUGUCGAGAGCAAAGCCGGAAAGAGUAGUUCCAAAUCCGUCGGUAAAACAGUUUUCCCCCAUCCAAACUCCGUCCUUUAGCAAGUGAUGACUUACACGCGCGCGCGCGUCUCAGAUGCACGUAUGCAUCUAUGCGCUGCAUACGCGAGUGUAAUACGUGUACGAUCUAACCGUAACUGCAUACUAAACUAUAAAUAUACAUACGUAUAUACGUACACACAGAGUAAAGGGGGACAUGUAGGGCAUUCACUUUGUUGGUUGUCGGCAUGCAUCACUGACCACGUUCAACGUCCUACGGAAAUCCUAAUUACUGCAUUUAAUCCAGGCUCACUUGAUUAUCAUACUUAAAAGGACUCGCGAGAGAGCAAGUUCGAAGUAUCUUUUCACUUGGAAACAUUGAAGAGCACUCGUGUCCGGAAAGAUACUUUUCAUGGUACGUUAUCGAAAGUCGUAAAAGCUCUGAGAAUCUCAGAGGCUUUUCCAUGAUUCUGGAUAGUAGGAAUGGCAGUAAUGUAUUUAUCGUGCUGGUGACCAUCAGUUUCGUUGGAGUAUGCCACGUCGAAUUUCCAACCGGUCAAAGAAACUUACGCGACUACACUUCCAUCCCCGUGCUAACAAAUAUGAGCCAUUUAUCUGUACGUGUGCACGUACAGAGUGACCCGUAUCAUUCAUAAACGGCAACGGUUUUGUUUAUCAAAAAUCGUCUAAAUUAAAGAAAUAUAGAAACGAGUCACCCUGUAUACGAGGAUGCAGUCGGUAAACGUUAUUUAAAUGCAAAAGCGAAGUGGCGAGUUACUUGGAACGAAAUUGAGGUAGUAUUUGAGGUUAACUAGCUUUACGGUGGAGAAAUGGACGGUCAGCAUCUUUAACGAGAUCACUCGGCUCUUCUGUACGUAUAAUUCGAGUCGUGUUAUUUAUUUAUCAUUUUUUCUUUCUUUUUUUUUCUUUCUUUUUUCUUUUCUUUCUUUUUUUUUUUUUUUUUAUAUUUUUAUAUCGAGCGAACGAACGAACGAACGAACGUUUUUCUAACGGAAAAUGCCAAGCUAAUUAUCGACCAUGCAAAGCGUUUGGGAAACGAAGUCACGCGAAUUCAACAUGGACGACGAUGGACGACGCAGUGGAAGCUCGUUGGUUGAUUCGGCUCAACUUCCUGACAACUCAUGCAUCCGGCAUAGCAGCAUGUGUUGAAAGUCAUAUAACGGUACGACAAAUGUCGUGAAUCGAAUCCAAAUACGUUAUAUACAAGGGGAAAAGGAAGUUACGUGUAUAUCGAGCGAUGAACGUAACGAACCGAGUAAGCCAGGCUACAAGACCAUACGGAAAAAGGUUUUCUACCCUCGAAAAGUUUCAUUUAUCACGAGAAGGAGGAGACGAAGACGAAGAGGAGGAUGAGAAGCAUAAGAAGCAGAAGAUAUCCUCUUUCUCCUCGAGCAGUAAGAACUCGAGGAGUACCGUUCAUAUUAGUCCGAGGGAAAAAAUUCAAUCUAAAUGGGAACGAUUGGCACACGUACGAUAAACAGAGCGUGAUUGACGUACGUGAUUCCAGUUCCUUCUAUAUCCCUCUGGCCAUUUCUGGGGACCACCGAUACAUUGAAACGGCGAGAGAAAGACGGAAUUGUUAUCCUGUUUAUUUAUUUCGCUAGAUCUAUCACAAAAAAGUUGUAUCACGAUUUCUCAUUUAGUUUUCUAAUUAUUUUUAGUCGCAAGAAAGUACGAUGCAUGAAAAAAUAAUAUAUAUAUAUAUAUAUAUGUGCACACGCACACACAGAAUAUGCAGAUCAUAGGUUACAUUAGAUUACAUAAAGCGUAUCAUUUCUUUUUCCUAUGCAUUUCUUUUCCCAUUUAUCUGGUAUGUUUCUCUUUCCACAUGUAAAAAGAAUGAAAAGGUAAAACGUAUAAAAGUUUCCCGUGUGGACAGAAUAGUGCAAUUAGAUUCAAGGCAUUUACUUUAUUGAUAUAGAAAUUAGUCACGUGUUACGACUGCAUUUGAAACGACGCGUUUUCCAAUAUUCAAAAGCUUCGGCUAGUGCGUGCCCCUUGGCACGAUCGAAUAUAUAUAUAUAUAUAUAUAUAUCUCGAAAUAAGUACACGGAUGGAGAGAGGGAGAGAAAGAGAAAGGUUUCAAGCCCUCUCUCAACCUUAGUGACUAUCAUAUCGGGGAAAAAUAAACGGAGCGUGGACGAAGGAACGAUUGUGUGGAUAUAUCUCUUUACUAAACGCUUCUACGAUGCUUCGGAUUCGCGAAAAGACCGAGAAGAGAAAUAGACGAAAAGCGCUGCCAACAAAACAAUAACUAAACAAUACCGUCUUCUCAUUCACGUUCAGUUAUAUCUUGCGAUGCAAGCUACAUGUAUGCUAUGUGUAUUUUUAUAAAAAUCGAAGAGAGAA